rnacentral:tRNA from 1 species
CAUCGGCGGGGAUACGGCCGCGGGUCGAGACGUUGUGACCGUUUCGACGGGCCCAGUCCCGGAUCGCCGCGCUCUGCUCGCGAUCGAUAGC